rnacentral:snRNA from 1 species
GUGCUCGCUUCAGCAGAACAUAUACUAAAACUGGAACAACACAGAAAAGAUUAGCAUGGCCCCUGCACAAGGAUGACAUGCAAAUUCAUGAAGCAAUCCAUAUUUUU